GAUGAACGCUAGCGGCAGGCCUAACACAUGCAAGUCGAGGGAGAAGCCCUUUCGGGGGCAGAAACCGGCGCACGGGUGCGUAACGCGUAUGCAACCUACCUUUCACAGGGGGAUAGCCCGAAGAAAUUUGGAUUAAUACCCCAUAAUAUUAUUGGAUGGCAUCAUUUGAUAAUUAAAACUGCGGUGGUGAAAGAUGGGCAUGCGUCCUAUUAGCUAGUUGGAGUGGUAACGGCACCCCAAGGCUACGAUAGGUAGGGGUCCUGAGAGGGCGAUCCCCGACAUGGGAGGUGGGGCAGGGACAAGAGGACUGCGGCAGGCAGCAGUGAGGAAUAUGGGGCAGCGGUGGGGAGUCUUAAGCAACGAUGCCACGUGUAAGAAGGAUGCAUUGUGUGUUGUAUGCUGCUUUUAGAAGAGAAGAAUAAGGCGUACGUGUACGUUGAUGACGGUACCAUAUGAAUAAGCACCGGCUAACUCCGUG
rnacentral:rRNA from 1 species